GUAAGCUACUAAGAGCGAAUGGUGGAUGCCUUGACUGGUAAAGGCGAUGAAGGACGUACUAGACUGCGAUAAGCUACGGGGAGCUGUCAAGAAGCUUUGAUCCGUAGAUUUCCGAAUGGGGCAACCCAAUGUAUAGAGAUAUACAUUACCUAUAUAGGAGCGAACGAGGGGAAUUGAAACAUCUUAGUACCCUCAGGAAAAGAAAUCAAUAGAGAUUGCGUCAGUAGCGGCGAGCGAAAGCGCAAGAGGGCAAACCCAGUGCUUGCACUGGGGGUUGUAGGACUGCAAUGUGCAAGAGGUGAGUUUAGCAGAACAUUCUGGAAAGUAUAGCCAUAGAGGGUGAUAGUCCCGUAUGCGAAAAACAAACCUUAGCUAGCAGUAUCCUGAGUAGGGCGGGACACGAGAAAUCCUGUCUGAAGCUGGGUCGACCACGAUCCAACCCUAAAUACUAAUACCAGAUCGAUAGUGCACAAGUACCGUGAGGGAAAGGUGAAAAGAACUGAGGUGAUCAGAGUGAAAUAGAACCUGAAACCAUUUGCUUACAAUCAUUCAGAGCACUAUGUAGCAAUACAGUGUGAUGGACUGCCUUUUGCAUAAUGAGCCUGCGAGUUGUGGUGUCUGGCAAGGUUAAGCAAACGCGAAGCCGUAGCGAAAGCGAGUCUGAAUAGGGCGCUUAGUCAGAUGCUGCAGACCCGAAACGAAGUGAUCUAUCCAUGAGCAAGUUGAAGCUAGUGUAAGAACUAGUGGAGGACUGAACCCAUAGGCGUUGAAAAGCCCCGGGAUGACUUGUGGAUAGGGGUGAAAGGCCAAUCAAACUUCGUGAUAGCUGGUUCUCUCCGAAAUAUAUUUAGGUAUAGCGUUGUGUCGUAAUAUAAGGGGGUAGAGCACUGAAUGGGCUAGGGCAUACACCAAUGUACCAAACCCUAUCAAACUCCGAAUACCUUAUAUGUAAUCACAGCAGUCAGGCGGCGAGUGAUAAAAUCCGUCGUCAAGAGGGAAACAACCCAGACUACCAGCUAAGGUCCCUAAAUCUUACUUAAGUGGAAAACGAUGUGAAGUUACUUAAACAACCAGGAGGUUGGCUUAGAAGCAGCCAUCCUUUAAAGAAAGCGUAAUAGCUCACUGGUCUAGUGAUUUUGCGCGGAAAAUAUAACGGGGCUAAAGUAAGUACCGAAGCUGUAGACUUGACUUUGUCAAGUGGUAGGAGAGCGUUCUAUUUGCGCCGAAGGUAUACCGGUAAGGAGUGCUGGAGCGAAUAGAAGUGAGCAUGCAGGCAUGAGUAGCGAUAAUUAAUGUGAGAAUCAUUAACGCCGUAAACCCAAGGUUUCCUACGCGAUGCUCGUCAUCGUAGGGUUAGUCGGGUCCUAAGUCGAGUCCGAAAGGGGUAGACGAUGGCAAAUUGGUUAAUAUUCCAAUACCAACAUUAGUGUGCGAUGGAAGGACGCUUAGGGCUAAGGGGGCUAGCGGAUGGAAGUGCUAGUCUAAGGUCGUAGGUGCUUAUACAGGCAAAUCCGUAUAAGAAUACACCGAGAACUGAAAGGCUUUUUGAAGUCUUCGGAUGGAUAGAAGAACCCCUGAUGCCGUCGAGCCAAGAAAAGUUUCUAAGUUUAGCUAAUGUUGCCCGUACCGUAAACCGACACAGGUGGGUGGGAUGAGUAUUCUAAGGCGCGUGGAAGAACUCUCUUUAAGGAACUCUGCAAAAUAGCACCGUAUCUUCGGUAUAAGGUGUGGUUCGCUUCGUAUUAGGAUUUACUCCGAAAGCGAAGAAACUUACAACAAAGAGUCCCUCCCGACUGUUUACCAAAAACACAGCACUCUGCUAACUCGUAAGAGGAUGUAUAGGGUGUGACGCCUGCCCGGUGCUCGAAGGUUAAUUGAUGGGGUUAGCAUUAGCGAAGCUCUUGAUCGAAGCCCGAGUAAACGGCGGCCGUAACUAUAACGGUCCUAAGGUAGCGAAAUUCCUUGUCGGUUAAAUACCGACCUGCAUGAAUGGCGUAACGAGAUGGGAGCUGUCUCAAAGAGGGAUCCAGUGAAAUUGUAGUGGAGGUGAAAAUUCCUCCUACCCGCGGCAAGACGGAAAGACCCCGUGGACCUUUACUACAGCUUGACACUGCUAUUUGGAUAAGAAUGUGCAGGAUAGGUGGGAGGCUUUGAGUAUAUGACGCCAGUUGUAUAUGAGCCAUUGUUGAGAUACCACUCUUUCUUAUUUGGGUAGCUAACCAGCUUGAGUUAUCCUCAAGUGGGACAAUGUCUGGUGGGUAGUUUGACUGGGGCGGUCGCCUCCCAAAUAAUAACGGAGGCUUACAAAGGUUGGCUCAGAACGGUUGGAAAUCGUUCGUAGAGUAUAAAGGUAUAAGCCAGCUUAACUGCAAGACAUACAAGUCAAGCAGAGACGAAAGUCGGUCUUAGUGAUCCGGUGGUUCUGUGUGGAAGGGCCAUCGCUCAAAGGAUAAAAGGUACCCCGGGGAUAACAGGCUGAUCUCCCCCAAGAGCUCACAUCGACGGGGAGGUUUGGCACCUCGAUGUCGGCUCAUCGCAUCCUGGGGCUGGAGCAGGUCCCAAGGGUAUGGCUGUUCGCCAUUUAAAGCGGUACGCGAGCUGGGUUCAGAACGUCGUGAGACAGUUCGGUCCCUAUCUGCCGUGGGCGUAAGAAGAUUGAAGAGAUUUGACCCUAGUACGAGAGGACCGGGUUGAACAAACCACUGGUGUAGCUGUUGUUCUGCCAAGAGCAUCGCAGCGUAGCUAAGUUUGGAAAGGAUAAACGCUGAAAGCAUCUAAGCGUGAAGCCAACUCUAAGAUGAAUCUUCUCUAAGCUCUCUAGAAGACUACUAGUUUGAUAGGCUGGGUGUGUAAUGGAUGAAAGUCCUUUAGCUGACCAGUACUAAUAGAGCGUUUGGCUUAUCUUU
rnacentral:rRNA from 1 species